rnacentral:tRNA from 1 species
CCCUGAUGGCUCAGACGGUAAAGAAUCUGCCUGCAAGGCAGGAGACACAGGUUCAAACCCUGAAUCAGGAA